GAUGAACGCUGGCGGCGUGCCUAAUACAUGCAAGUCGAGCGAACAGACGACUUGCUUGCUCCUCUGACGUUAUCGGCGGACGGGUGAUUAACACGUGGAUAACCUACCUCUAACUCUUUCUUAACUUCGGGAAACCGGUGCUAAUACCGCAUAAUAUAUUGAACCUCAUGGUUCAUUAGUUAUAGACGGUUUUUCUGUCACUUAUAGAUGGAUCCGCGCCGCAUUAGCUUGUUGGUAAGGUAACGGCUUACCAAGGCAACGAUGCGUAGCCGACCUGAGAGGGGGAUCGGCGACAAGGGAAGGGAGAAAAGGUGAAGAAGACUACGGGAGGAAGCAGUAGGGAAGAUUACGGAAUGGGGGAAAGCAGGAAGGAGCAACGACGCGGGAGUGAUGAAGGAAUUCGGAGCGUAAAAAUCUGUUAUUAGGGAAGAAAAAAAGUGGAAGUAAAUAUGGACGUAUUGACGGUACCUAAAAAGAAAGCAACGGCUAACUACGUG
rnacentral:rRNA from 1 species